GGGUCGCCCAGCCAGGCAAGCGAUUGAGAGAUUUAUGUUUCCUAUCGUCGCGCCGGUGGUUGGGGAUGCUCUUCGCCGCCGAUAUUAUACGGGUGCGUGCUGGUGAGCGUAUCCAUCGGCGCUCCGCCGGGGAAGAUACUCGAGAGCCGUUGGACUGUCCUGUUCCGGCCUGCUCGAGCUCGACAGCGCUGGCGGGUGAGCUGGGGGGUGAGCGCGGCUGCCGAAAUUUUGAUGGCGCGCGCCGCUCAGGUAGUCAGAUGUCAUCGUGCUUUUCAGGCUGUGCAGAAGAUAUGGUAUGCCACGCGAAGAUUUGGACCUUAUCGCGUUAAGAGACGCAGUGAUGAACGUGGGAGCUGCAGGGUGAUGCGCAAACUUCAAGCCCACAACUGGCAACACAAGUGCAGUAUUCUCUUUGCUCGGUUCAGUUAUGACAGUCUCAAGCCAGACAUUAACAUCAGAUAGUUCUCAUACCGGUCAUGUAUAUAGAUAGCGCAUAAAGAACUAUAUUCGCAGCAAACAGCUUCUUUAAAAUAAAUUCUCAUCUAACCCCUUAUCUCAUUAGUGCUAGCAACAGGCAUAGAUACAUAAUUAAAUGCGAAAUCAGCACUGCAAAGUCAGGUAUACCAACUGAAACAUGUACCCAGGUCCCUCCGAAGUAGUAUCUCUCUAUUCUUACACAUCAACUUAGUUUCAGCAUGUAAAAACCCGAGUCACGGUACUGAAUAACAAUAGUCUUGCUUCAGAAAAACAGCAAGAGUCAUACGUUCCAGUCACGUUAUACAAUUUUAGCAUCUCUGCUAGCUAGGCAUAAUGCUAAACUAUCAACUCUUCAGCCUCUGCUCAGUAUCGAUAUAGCUCAACUAGCUACUCCAUCUAACAGAACAAAAGGAUGCCGGGCAUUAUAUCUGUACAGUCUUAUCAUCAAACAACUCUGCCACCGAUCUCAAUGCACUGAGAAAGAUUUAGUCCAACAUGAUGACUCAAAAUAAGGUACAACACCUGAAUAAUGAAUGUGACGGCAUCUAACUAU